rnacentral:rRNA from 1 species
CCCUUAGAUGUUCUGGGCCGCACGCGCGCUACACUGAUGCAUUCAACAAGCCUAGCCUUGACCGAGAGGUCCGGGUAAUCUUUGAAACUGCAUCGUGAUGGGGCUAGAUUAUUGCAAUUAUUAAUCUUCAACGAGGUAUGCCUAGUAAGCGUGAUUCAUCAAAUCGCGUUGAUUACGUCCCUGCCCUUUGUACACACCGCCCGUCGCUCCUACCGAUUGAAUGUGUUGGUGAGGAGCUCGGAUUGGCAGCAGUUGGUGGUUCGCCACCGGCUAUUGCUGAGAAGUCCUCCAAACCGCCCCAUUUAGAGGAAGGAGAAGUCGUAACA